CAAAGACCUUGUAUAGAAUAGACGGAUAAUAUUUUAGAGUGACGAUCAAACUAUCACAGCUCUCUUUCUUCCCUAUGGCAACAAUCUCUGUGGAAAAAAGAAACAAACAUAGACAAACACCGCUGUCUAGAACGUCAGUGUUUACCGUUUUGAGAUGUUGUGGUAGUCAGCUGGAUACCAAACCUGCCGUUAGUUUUUUGGUGUUUUGGGACGUUAUUUUAACUUUUUAUAUAAACAAUCUGUGAAAUAGUUAUUCAUUAUAAACCAUGGCUUGCGUAGCUAUUGGUUGUGAGAGUAGAAUGGGUGUUAUAAUGGAGAACGAUCAAACAAUGUCUCACCAUGGAUUUUCUAAAUAUCCUAAUUUACGAAACCAGAAAUUAAGAAACAAUUGGAUUCAGACCAUGAAACGAGAUGAUUCUCUCUUCUGAAGGACGCCUUCUCCUUAUUUAAGCCUGUGCUAAUUACAUUUCGAUGUAUCUUGCUUUCUAUCGAGCAGGAUACCAAACAAAAAUAUUACAUAGAGAUGCAGUACCAACAAUAUUCACUCACAUAUCUCACAUAAGGUAAAGUUAUAACGACCAGAGCCGACACUAUACACUUCUAAAGAAAGUGAACAUGAGGAAAAAUUUUUUUACCACCAAAAAUCGGAAUUGUUAAGUGCUUCGUGGUCAUUGUAUUCUAACUAUAUUGAAUAAAAAUCUUAUAAAGAAGUAUUUGCUUUUAUUAUAUACUAGAAGGUCGUCUACUUCUUGUAUCGAGAGCCGAUUCGAUUUCCGGUCAAGUCAAUGAAAAACGUGAAUUUAAUUUUUAUAAAAGGGUAGGUAUGUGAUU
rnacentral:lncRNA from 1 species